CUCAGGUGUGCCCAGGUGUGCCCAGGUGUGCCCAGGUGUGCCCAGGUGUGCCCAGGUGCGCCCAGGUGCACCCAGGUGGAUCUCAGGUGUGCCCAGGUGU